rnacentral:rRNA from 1 species
GUCGAGCGGACAGAUGGGAGCUUGCUCCCUGAUGUUAGCGGCGGACGGGUGAGUAACACGUGGGUAACCUACCUUUAAGACUGGGAUAACUCCGGGAAACCGGGGCUAAUACCGGAUAACAUCUUUCUUUGCAUAAAGAGAGAUUGAAAGAUGGCUUUUGCUAUCACUUAUAGAUGGACCCGCGGCGCAUUAGCUAGUUGGUGAGGUAACGGCUCACCAAGGCGACGAUGCGUAGCCGACCUGAGAGGGUGAUCGGCCACACUGGGACUGAGACACGGCCCAGACUCCUACGGGAGGCAGCAGUAGGGAAUCUUCCGCAAUGGACGAAAGUCUGACGGAGCAACGCCGCGUGAGUGAUGAAGGUUUUCGGAUCGUAAAACUCUGUUGUUAGGGAAGAACAAGUACCGUUCAAAUAGGGCGGUACCUUGACGGUACCUAACCAGAAAGCCACGGCUAACUACGUGCCAGCAGCCGCGGUAAUACGUAGGUGGCAAGCGUUGUCCGGAAUUAUUGGGCGUAAAGCGCGCGCAGGCGGUCUCUUAAGUCUGAUGUGAAAGCCCACGGCUCAACCGUGG